AUGACCAGUGGUGCUGGUCUAACCAAGUGGGAAUGCAACAGGCAGCAAUCAAGGGUUUCAACAACUACCAGCCAAGAGCUAAGGAAGGGGAUGUAUCCUGUCUCUGAUGGUGACAAGUGUACUCUAGGACCAGCUAAUAACCUAGGUGCAGAAGCACCUGGUGAAGAGGAGAAGAGUGUAGCAGAGAAGCUGAGCAAAUGUUCUUCAUCUGUGUGGAGGAGCUUACUGGAGUCCUCAGCCCGGAACAUUUCUUUACGGGGGAUGAGUCAGAAAAUGUGUCUCAAAGUGAUGCUUCAGUAGAUGAAGUUAUAAAGCACCUCGACAAAACAAACGGUACCAGUUUAGCAGCAACGAGUGGUUUUCAGUCAAGAGCUCUGAAGGAAUUCAAGGAUGAAAUAGCUGAACUAUUAACUGCAUUAAGCCUACUGUGAAACCUCUUACUUAAAAUAUUCUCGCUAUAGGGGGCAAGAAAGCAGUGAGACCUUGCAUUUAAAAAAUGCUUUUGAGCAGAUCCAGGAAGAGUAGAUUAUUAAUACCGAUGCCUAAAUGAGGUGAAACUGUAGUAUGGAAGGGAAUUAGGGAGCGUGUUAGUGAGAUUUGAUUUAUGGGAAAAGUCAACUAGGCUUUUGUGAAUGGAAGGACUACCUGAAGGGUCAGCAAGGGAUCUUGUAUAAAAAUGCUGAGAAAAGCAUGGUGUGGUCUGCUCGAGUUUCUGAAAGAGUUUAACAAAUUCCUUGUUCAAAGGAUCUUAAAGAAACUUUACAGGAGCUCUGAGUUCCUAUGAGAAGGAAGGUGCUCCCAUAGGUAAGUCUAGGCCAAGGCUAGGAGUCAAAGGGAAGGAGACACUGGUCAGCCCUCGUGGUGAAGAGCCCCACAAGGCUUAACCUUGGUGAUGACUGUAAACUCCAGCUCCAGGCUGGACCCACAACUGAAACAUGAAUCAAGAUGAAAACAGAGUCCCACAUGGUGACUCCAGCCAGUUUGAGUUUCACUUGCAGGUGAAUCUGGGUGUUUUACAAGGUGGGGUUCUGUUCUGUUUGUUCCCAGUAUUCAAUUUUCUUAUUUUUUGACCACAGCAGAGAACUGAACUGACUCCAGCUCUUACUCCUGAGUGGUAUUUUUUCAGAGCUCAUUAUAGUGUAUCUGAUUUGUUCUCCCCAUGUGCGUCACUUUGCAUUUAUCUGUAUUGAAUUCUGUCUUCUAUUUUGUCACCCGCUCUCUCAAUAUUAUGAGAUCCUCUGGUUUAAUUUGAUGUCCCUUCUCCCUAUGCAGGGAGAGAAAUGGAAAAACUUGGCCCUAUGCAUCCUCUCAGGGUUCUCGUGAGUUUGUCUUCUUUCACAUGUCCAUUAAGACAAUCCCUUCUCUAUGCUGAAGGGUCCUGUCCUACAGUUUUCCUCAUACAAAAGCCAUUCCAGACCUUCCAUCACCCUCUUGUCCCCCCCUUGUACCCAAGUAUAUGAGAUGAGGGGUCUGAAGCCACAGUAUGACUGAACCAAUGAUUUAUACAGCACUGGAACUGUGUUUUCCAUUGAUCAGGUAAUUUACCAUUCUCUACGAGCUCUUCACUGAGGCUGCACACCAUGUGUUACCGACACAGAUGGCCCAUUUGACAGUUUAGAUACGGUCUUACAAAUGGCCUUCCUCCACCUUUGCUUAGUUCUGGAGUCCUCUUGUCAUAAUGAGUCACUGGAGUGCUCCUCUCCCAGAUCUGCUUGGUGAUUGCCUCCCUGUGAUUUACAGGUCAACCUCAGCUGUUCCUACCUGACAUCCAAAGAGCUAUGCCCCAUCUCCCUCCCCUUGCACUCGUAAUUUCAUAACAUUUGCCUUCCAUUCCUCUUCCAAAACCACUUUGCAGGAUUGUCUGCUCUGUUGCUUUGCUCCUGCUUGGGAAGUAGGCUGAUUUCAUUAGUAAUUUGGCCAACUUCUACGGAGCAAGCAUGAUGUACUAAAUCAUGGUCAUGGUUGCACUAGAAAAGAACGAUGCCUGCAUGUUCUGACUCAGGCUGUCUUUCAUUGGACCCAAUGAUGCUGUAGGUUGAGCUGCUUUAUUUGAUUCCUGAUGGGUUAGCUCCUUUAUAACACCUUAGUGGUCAUUUGCUGCAGGACAUGGGUUCUCAAUGGAGGUCAGAGGAGAUUACUGCUGAGCACAUUGCUCUGAACAGAAGCAGGGCUAUGUGUGCAGACUCGAAAGAGGAGCACUGGUGAUGCAAUUAGGAAUAAAGCUCAAAUAGGUAUUAUUGUGAGACA
rnacentral:lncRNA from 1 species